UACGUAGGUGGCAAGCGUUGUCCGGAUUUACUGGGCGUAAAGAGCGCGCAGGCGGUCGUUCAAGUCGCGUGUGAAAGCCCCCGGCUCAACUGGGGAGGGUCACGCGAUACUGAUCGACUCGAAGGCAGGAGAGGGUAGUGGAAUUCCCGGUGUAGUGGUAAAAUGCGUAGAUAUCGGGAGGAAUACCAGUGGCGAAGGCGGCCGGCUGGGCCACGACCGACACUGAGGUGCGAAAGCGUGGGGAGCGAACCGG
rnacentral:rRNA from 1 species